AAAGUACUCCCUCCUUCCGGAAAUACUUGUCGGAGAAAUACAUAAAAAUGAAUGUAUCUAGAACUAAAAUAGAUCUAGAUACAUCCGUUCCUCCGACGAGUAUUUCCGAACGGAGGGAGUACAAC
rfam:Triticum aestivum genome assembly, contig: Triticum_aestivum_CS42_TGACv1_scaffold_592684_7BS